GCCAUUCUUUAUUUCUUUACUUUCUUAAUAAACUUACUUUCAUUUUACAAGUUCCUAGAGACUUGCCCUGAAUUCUUUCUUGUGCAAGAUCCAAGAACCUUCUCUUGGAAUCUGGAUGGGGCUCCUUUCCAGUAACAUCUUUCUGCUGAACCAUGGAAGAGACAACACUGAGAAGAAGCCUGACCCAACAGAAAUAGACUACAGCACUGAUUGGCAACUGUGGGAAUCAAACUUGACUUGUAAAGCCAAUGAAAGCUCCUUUGGAAAACUGGCCUCAUACCUUGUCUACACAGUCCCUGUACAGCGUUCCUGACCUAUGAUAUCACCUUUUGUUGGAACUCAAGAGUUAUGAAUGGCCCUCAGCAUUACUAAUGCUUUCUGACUGAGCUCCUCUCUACUGUGAAUACGAACCACCCUCAUAGUUACCCAGAGAGUAUCAUUGCCCCUAUUCAGUCUGAAGAAGUUACAGAAGAUGGAUCUAUGUCCUUCUGCAACCCUUAAGAUUAAGGGUUCU
rnacentral:lncRNA from 13 species